AUUGAACGCUGGCGGCGUGCCUAACACAUGCAAGUCGAGCGGUAACAGGUGUAGCAAUACAUGCUGACGAGCGGCGAACGGGUGAGUAAUGCUUCGGAAUCUGCCCAUGUAGUGGGGAAUAACCAGCCGAAAGGUUGGCUAAUACCGCAUACGACCCUUGCCCACAAGGCAAAGGUGAAAGCAGGGGAUCGCAAGACCUUGCGCUAUUGGAUGAGCCGAAGUCGAUUAGCUAGUUGGUAGGUAACGGCCUACCAAGGCGACGAUCCGUAGCUGGUCUGAGAGGACGACCAGCCACACUGGGACUGAGACACGG
rnacentral:rRNA from 1 species